rnacentral:miRNA from 1 species
CCUGGAACUCACUAAGUAGACCAGGCUGGCCUAGAGCUCACAGAGACCUGCCUGUCUCUGCCUCCUGAGUGCUG